rnacentral:lncRNA from 1 species
AUUGUUAAAAUCGCAACGGCUAAAAAUAGAUCCAGAAAAUAAUUUAUUGCAGGAAGCGAAAAGAAAAGAGAAAAGAGCACACUGAUAUUUAGGUGGUUCGGCCAACGACCUACGUCCACGGGCGAAGACGGAGCAAAUACUUUAUUAAUGUCGAAAAGGUGGAGUACAAAAAAAUCUCUCAAAAGACCAAAACUUAAUUGGAUCGAAAAUGCCGCAACAAACAACUCAAAAAAAAAAAAACGGCUUCUUUCUCAAAAUCGUACGGACCAAUAAAUGCCAAC